UGGCGGGCAGGCUUAACAACAUGCAAGUCGAACGCCCCGCAAGGGGAGUGGCAGACGGGUGAGUAACGCGUGGGAACAUACCCUUUCCUGCGGAAUAGCUCCGGGAAACUGGAAUUAAUACCGCAUACGCCCUACGGGGGAAAGAUUUAUCGGGGAAGGAUUGGCCCGCGUUGGAUUAGCUAGUUGGUGGGGUAAAGGCCUACCAAGGCGACGAUCCAUAGCUGGUCUGAGAGGAUGAUCAGCCACAUUGGGACUGAGACACGGCCCAAACUCCUACGGGAGGCAGCAGUGGGGAAUAUUGGACAAUGGGCGCAAGCCUGAUCCAGCCAUGCCGCGUGAGUGAUGAAGGCCUUAGGGUUGUAAAGCUCUUUCACCGGAGAAGAUAAUGACGGUAUCCGGAGAAGAAGC
rnacentral:rRNA from 1 species